rnacentral:rRNA from 1 species
CGUAGGGUGCAGGCGUUAAUCGGAAUUACUGGGCGUAAAGCGUGCGCAGGCGGCUCCUUAAGUCAGAUGUGAAAGCCCCGGGCUUAACCUGGGAACUGCGUUUGAAACUGGGGAGCUGGAGUGUAGAAGAGGGGGGUGGAAUUCCAGGUGUAGCAGUGAAAUGCGUAGAGAUCUGGAGGAACACCGAUGGCGAAGGCAGCCCCCUGGGCUAACACUGACGCUCAUGCACGAAAGCGUGGGGAGCAAACAGGAUUAGAUACCCUGGUAGUCCACGCCCUAAACGAUGUCAACUGGUUGUCGGGGAAGUAAUUCCUUGGUAACGAAGCUAACGCGUGAAGUUGACCGCCUGGGGAGUACGGCCGCAAGGCUA